rnacentral:rRNA from 1 species
CGAGACCUCAAGGUCAGGCGGGGCUACCCGCUGAAUUUAAGCAUAUCAAUAAGCGGAGGGAAAAGAAACUAACAAGGAUUCCCUUAGUA